ensembl:misc_RNA Metazoa_SRP Metazoan signal recognition particle RNA
GCUGGGCGUGGUGGCGCAUGCCUGUAGUCCCAGCUGCUCGGGAGGCUGAGGCAGGAGAAUCGCUUGAACCUGGGAGGUGGAGGUUGCAGUGAGCUGAGAUCUUGCCACUGCAUUCCCGCCUGGGUGACAGAGCAAGACUCUGUCUCAA